GUAGCGACCCCGAAAGGGAUAAGCCGAAAGUGAACACACACUAGUUCUCUAGACCGAGACCUGGACACCCCCAGGCUCUGAUGUAGUUUGAUCCCCUGCUUUAAAUCUUAAAUCUCUGGGAUCCCACUACUGGCAUGGAGAGGAGGCCAACAGGCCCAGGAGACCAUCACCCAAGAGACAAGACCACCAGGCCGAGAGACAAAUGGUUUGAGCAACCCCAUAAAAGCCCUAGCAUCUUGUCAUUUCGUCGGAACCCUCUAUGAAAGAGAUUCCCUACAUGCUUGUGUGCACAGCGUGUAUUAUUCUGAUUUUGUUAUUAAACACUUGUGUUAAUCCUAAAAUGUGUCUGUUCCUCCAUCGGAUUCAAAAUUUUUCCACAACAAUUUGGUGUUGUCAGAAGUGGGAUCCUGGACGUGCCUGUAGAAACGGAGGACCUCGAAGGUUGGCCACCUGGAUCCUGAAGGGACCGAGGUCCGCCGUUCCGAUCGACCAUGACGGGAUCUGCCAAAAGAACCUGGGUGGACUGAAUCCGGUGAGGAGCAUUCCAUGUAUUUUUAUUUUUAUCGUUUAUUCUAUUUUUUUUUACAUUUUUAUUAAUUUUGGUUGUUGUGAAAAACCAAAAGGUUUGUUUCCCACUAAAGCCUGUGAGGUAAAGACAUCUACCGAUUAAACUGUGACCAUAAAUAGACGAGACCAACGUAAAGUUUACCUGUGCGUGAAAUGCGUAAUUAGGUAAUACCUUUGUGAGCUACGGUGAGAUCAAAGGAGUUUUCUGUGAAUUUGGUAAUUUUUUAUCAGAUGAGACCAGACCAAAGGUUGUGAGUGUAUUUUUUAAGGAAGACCAGUAGAGCCUGUGACCGAAAUGAACGAGACCAACGUCAAGUUUACCUUUGUGUGAAAUACUACAUUAGGUAAUGCCUUUGUGAGCUACGGUGAGAACGAAGGAGUGUUACGUUCAGCAGUGUUUGCCCCUCCUCCUUUGCUCUCACCUGGUUGCCACAGCUGCAUAUUAUUUGUCAUUAUUAUUACAGGUAUUUAAGUUAUGGUCUUUUGGUGUUUCACUGUCGCAGAGUCUUGUUUUGUCUUCUACGUUUUGGAGUGCUAUUAAAUAUUAUUCUUCGUUCCCCAUCUGAUCUUGAGUCCUUCCUGCUCCUGGGUUCCCUUUUGCCUGAUGCCGUAAAAAGGAGUUUUCUGUGAAUUUGGUAAUUUAUUAUUAGAUGAGACCAGACCGAAGGUUGUGAUUUUAAAAGACCAGUAGACUGUGACCUAUAAUUAAACGAGACCAACGCAAAGUUUACCUGUGAGUAAAAUACGAAAUUAGGUGAUGCCUUAGUGAGCUGCGGCGAGAUGGAAGGAGUUUUCUGUGAAUUUGAUACGUUUCUUAUCAGGUGAGACCAGAUCAAAGGUUGUGAGUUUAUUAUACGGGAGACCAGUAAACAUGGGAAACAUGGAAAGUAGAGUGGAGAAUCCCGGCGUGAACUCCAAGUUAAUGAUGUUUAUGAAAGAUGGUUUUGAAUAUUGUGAUGUCUAAACAUUGAAGUCUUUGUGAACCAGAGUAGAUCAAGUCUAACAGCAGCCUCUAAUUAGACAAAUAAUUAAUUUUAGUAGAGGGCGUAGGGGCUCUGGGGAGGGGUGGUACCUUUGGAGUCUGGCACUCUGCUCCCUAUUUGUAGGGUGGACAGGCAUCACUGGUCCCCACUCAUCCCUAAAUCUCUCACAUGCUGGGUCAAGCGCCACACCGUGGUAAACCGCUUCAGCUGGCGGGCUAAACCAUGUGAGGGGGUGGUGUCUAAUAUUGCACCACUGGGCGUAUGAACCUGAUAUUGAGGUCACCGGCCAGGGCUGAAGUGAUCCAAGACGAUCUCAACGGCCAACAUACCCCCCGUGCCUCCGAGGAAGGUUUUUUUUCCAAGCCAGAGGCUAGGACAAGGACAGUCUGAUGUAAAACCUACAACCCGUGGACCUCGCUGUCACUGUCCUAGCUUGCUAGGCUAUGACAGAUGAACCACGGGUGUAAAGGGUGGGGCCAGGACUGCCCACACUGCACUUCACCUUAAAACUACACUGCGCAGGCUCGAAGGACUUGUCUGCGUCCGCUUACCACCAACUCCUCCAAGUCCUGUAGCGAUGGGAGGGGGCGAAAACGGCAGGUGAAAGAUGUCACUGGAAGCCGCAGCUCCAAGCUUGCAUGCAGGUGGUUCAGGAUAUUGGUCGCCCGAUGGUGACCUAGAGACGACAGCAUCAUUCGGCACACCCUGAACGACCAAGCAGCCUUUUCUGGGGAUGCACUGCUUGCUCCGCACGGAGAGGGGCCUAAAAAAAUUUGGCCUAACCAAAGCUCGUCUCUCAUUCCCCCUAGUUGGUUUACAGCGGCCAACGGGCAUCUUCUUAGAGGUCAAACAAAAAUGAAAGAAAGAAGGUAUGCACCCACCUGUAAGGAUGCACAAGCACUGACAUUGGCAUGCUGGAAUAUCAGAACCAUGCUCGUCAAAGAAGAUAGAAACAGACCUGAACGUCGCUCUGCUCUGAUUGCAUACUAACUGUACAGGCUGGAUUUUGAUAUUGCUGCACUCAGCGAAGUUCGCUUCUCCGAGGAAGGUAGCCUCCAGGAGAAAGGUGCCGGUUACACCCUCUUCUGGUCAGAGAAACCGACAGCUGAAAGGCGUCUCUCUGGUGUCGGCCUCAUGAUUGAAACCUCCAUCGUCUCCAGGCUUGAAAACCUGCCAAUCGGUAAUUCGGACCGCAUCAUGUCCAUGCGUCUCCCCCUGAUGAACAAGAAGUGUGUCACGCUCUACAGUGUAUGCCCCAACUCUUCAAGCUGAACCUGCGGACAAGGACAAGUUCUAUUCCGAGCUUCGCAGCCUCCUCCAAAGCACCCCUGCAGACGACAAAGUAAUAAUCCUUUGAGACUUUAACGCCCGAGUGGGCCAAGACACAGUUGCCUGGAAAGGAGUUCUUGGUAGACACGGCGUCGGAAACUGCAACGAAAAUGGGCGCUUGCUGCUUGAGUUUUGCAUGGAACAACAAUUUGUCAUCACCAAUACCAUCUUCCAGCAAAAAGGACAUUCUGAAGACAACCUGGAUGCAUCCACGACCCAAACAUUGGCACCUCAUCGAUCAUGUUCUAGCACGCCAACGACACCACCAACGCCAACGUGGUUUGUUUCUUUCUUUCGACAUGCCAAAGAAAGAAAUUUUAGUAAUAUUGUGAGCUGUGAGCUGCAGAUUAAAAAAAAACAAAAAAAACAGAAACUACUUCUUUUCCUCUCUCUGUCCUCUGCAGGCUUCAUGGGGAACCAGAGCCAACCUGUCGAGCGGACUCCAUCCCUCCCCCCUCCCAACCUAACCCCUUGUCCUUAAAUGAAGCCAGUAUCCCAGCUCCUCCAUUCAUCCUCCUCUUCACUCCUCUCCAAGCAGCAGCAACACAGAAGUGGGAUCCCGGACGUGUCCGUCGGGACGGAGGACCACGAAGGUUGGCCACCUAGAUCCUGAAGGGACCGGGGUCCGUCGUUCCGAUUGACCGUGACGGUAUCCGUCAAAAGAACCUGGGUGGACUGAAUCCGGUGAGGAGCAUUCCAAUUAUUUUCUUUUCUCGUUUAUUCUUCCUUUGAUUAUUAAUUUGGGUUGUUUGUGCAAAAAAAAAGGGGUUUGUUUCCCACUAAAGCCUGUGAGGUAAAGACGUCUACCAAGACCAGGGACUAAAGACUGACCUAUAAUAAACAUAUUUUCUUUGUAAAGCCUGUGAGUAAAUGCGAGACCAGGGGAAAGAAUUAAUUUCUUUGUAAAGCCUGUGAGUAAAUACAAGACCAGGGGAAAGAAUUACCUUUGUGAGUGAACACGAGAACAAUGCAAAAAUCUGUUUGUGAGUGAACACGAGACCAAAGGUUGUGAGUUUAUUUUGGAAGAACAGUAGACUGUGACCUAUAAUUAAACAAGACCAACGCAAAGUUUGCCUGUGCAUAAAAUACGUAAUUAGGUGAUGCCUUUUUGAGCUACGGCGAGAUCGAAGGAGUUUUCUGUGAAUUUGAUAAGUUUCUUAUCAGGUGAGACCAGACCAAAGGUUGUGAGUUUAUUAUGCGGGAGACCAGUAAACAUGGGAAACGUGGAAAGUGGAGAAUCCUGGCGUGGAUUCCAAGUUAAUAAUGUUUAUGAAAGAAAAAUCUAUGGUUUUGACUAUUGUGAAGUUUAAACAGGGAAGUCUUUGAGAACCAGAGCAGAUCAGGUCUAACAGCAGCAUCUGAUUAGACAAAGAAGAAAUUUUAGUAAUAUUGUGAGCUGUGAGCUGCAGAUUAAAAAAAAA